GAAAAUGAUGCGGGCAUGUCUUCGUUAUGGUGAGAACAGCAAUAAAGAAGAAUCUGGUUAGCGAUGAUAUUGAUGCUGAUAGUGCCGAGAAAUGACAUGUUUACUUUUCAGCCAACUGCUCCCUUCCGCUCUCACUCACAAUUUACAUAACGCUCCUUCCAUUUGCAAAUCCUCUCGGUCUCUCUACCAUCCCCUCGUAAAAAAAUAUUGGGGUUCUACAUGUGCGAUUUCGCUUCCGAGAAUUCGUUCAUUUGCUUCGAAUUCAUCUGUAGAAGCGACUAGAGUAAUGCAAAGCAUGACAAGUCCAGUGUCCAUAUCCUACCUCACGCAGCGUGAAGCCGCGGAGAUUGAUGAGAUUCUUAUGGGUCCUCUCGGGUUUAGCGUCAAUCAGUUGAUGGAAUUGGCUGGUUUGAGCGUUGCUACUUCCAUAGCAGAGGUUUACAAACCAAGCGAGUUUAAUCGUGUUCUUGCGAUUUGUGGUCCGGGGAACAAUGGUGGUGAUGGUUUGGUAGCAGUUCGCCAUCUGCAUCACUUUGGAUACAAACCAUUUGUUUGCUAUCCAAAGCGCACUGCCAAACCUCUUUAUACUGGUCUGGUUACUCAGCUGGAAUCACUGGCAGUCCCUUUCUUGACAGUGGGAGAUUUGCCUUCAGAUUUGUCAAAGGACUUUGAUAUUCUAGUAGACGCAAUGUUUGGGUUCUCAUUCCAUGGUGCCCCAAGACCACCUUUUGAUGAUCUAAUCCAAAAAUUGGUUUACUUGCAUGAGUGCAAUCAAACUCGCCAAAAGUCCUCAGUUAUUGUCUCUGUAGAUAUUCCAUCUGGAUGGAAUGUUGAAGAAGGCGAUGUUGCUGGUGAAGGAAUUAAACCUGACAUGUUGGUUUCUUUGACUGCUCCAAAGUUGUGUGCAAAGAAAUUUUCUGGUCCACACCACUUUCUAGGCGGUAGGUUUGUCCCACCAUCAAUAGUGGAGAAAUAUAAGCUGCAUCUCCCACCAUAUCCUGGCACUUCUAUGUGUGUCCGAAUUGGAAAGCCUCCGCAAAUUGAUAUAUCAGCUCUAAGGGAGAACUAUAUUUCUCCUGAAUUCCUUGAGGAACAGGUGGAGGCUAAUCCCAUUGAUCAGUUCCGCAAAUGGUUUGAUGAUGCUGUGGCUGCUGGACUGAAGGAGCCAAAUGCUAUGUGCUUGUCAACUGUUGGACAGGAUGGAAAACCCUCAUCUAGAAUGGUAUUGUUGAAAGGAAUUGAUAAAGAUGGGUUUGUCUGGUGCACCAAUUAUGAAAGUAGAAAGGCACAUCAAUUAUCUGAAAAUCCUGGAGCAUCACUUCUUUUCUACUGGGAUGGUCUUAAUCGGCAGGUAUUGCAUAUUUCUUGUGUUGAGGUUGGCCUGAACAACUUUAUUUUUUUUUCCUUUUCUCCUCUUUGCCCCCUCUGUAUAUUUUGGGAUUUUGGAGCUUUCAUUAGAUGGAAGGAUUAUAAGAGGAUUUUCUAAUUGAUCUAUUCUGUAUGUGAGUCAAUAUCAGAUGCCUAAUGAGGAAAUCUGGUAACCAUAUGUAUAAUGAUAAACCUUCUUACUCCAUUUGGGAAUGGAAUGGCAGCAAGAAACAAUUUUUGUGAAAUUCAAAAAUAAGGAUUUUAGACCCUUUAUGAAUCUAGCAUCUGGUAACAUGUAUUGGAUGAAGCUAUUGAUCAGCAUUUUUCUCAUUUAGGCGUCCCCCCCAACUUCCCAACCCCCCACCCACCUCCCCAAAAAAAAAAAAAAAGAAAAAAAUCCCUCUUUUUUUCUGUUACUGAAGCACGUCAGUACUAUAAUGAUUUGAUUCAUCCUUUGGAGAGAGUAGCAUUUUACGCUUUUUCUAUUUCAUAUGUAUUUUGGCUUUAAUCGACAUUCACAAAAUUGUUACAGUUCAUUUUAUGCACUUUUUCCAUUAAGUGUUUUGUCCAAGAAGUCAGAUCUUUGCCAUGUGAGAUAACAGGGUAGAGCAAGGGACAGCAGUGUCUUUCCAAGCAAGGUAUGUUAUAUGACAGCAUGCUGCAGUUGUUGAGGCUAGGAAUUACUAAGCAGUUGCAGAAUGGUUGUCAACGGCAUAGCAGCAACAAUUAAAAUAGCAAUGACGUCAUUUAGUUUUCACUGGCUACAAAUGUCUGAAGUUAUGAACCAGAUGAUGACUUUAGCUGACUUCACUUAGAGAUUACAAAGAAAGUAGGAAGGAGAAAGCAAGACCUUGUCAUUAUGGAGAUUCCUUUAUACUUCAUUUAUAGUCACUGUUGGUGAGGGUGGAAGGAUCUGUGCAGAAAGUCUCAGAUAAGGAAUCUGAACAAUACUUCCAUAGCCGCCCUCGAGGAAGUCAGAUUGGAGCAAUAAUUAGCAAGCAG